rnacentral:rRNA from 1 species
UACGUAGGGUGCAAGCGUUAAUCGGAAUUACUGGGCGUAAAGGGCGCGUAGGCGGCACGGCAAGUCGGGAGUGAAAGCCCGGGGCUCAACCCCGGAGGGUCUCUCGAGACUGCCGAGCUAGAGUGCGGAAGAGGCAACCGGAAUUCCCAGUGUAGCGGUGAAAUGCGUAGAUAUCGGGAGGAACACCAGUGGCGAAGGCGGCUUCCUGGCCUGUUCUUGACGCUGAGGCGCGAAAGCUAGGGGAGCAAACGGG